UAAUUAUUUUCGUGUGGUAUGAUGAAUCAUUAAAUAUGAAAAAUUACUGAUGAUUUGCAAUUCGACCAAUACUAACUCAAGAAACUCAACUAAUAAUGACCUUUAUUUUGGUUCGAUUGUAAUUUCACAUCCCAUUUCAAGAUAUAUAAAGAUACCAAUGAAAUGUAGACAUCUAAAAAAUUUUAAGUUCGGAAAGUAGUUUUGGUAUUUGAGAAAAAAAUAAUAAGGAACCAUAAUGUGAUUUUUAUAUAUCCGGUUUAUAUAUAUUAAUUUGAGUUGACUGUAUCAGUAUGUAUGACUAAAAAGUCAACCAUUUUGCAAAAAAAAAUAUGCACACCGACUCUCAUGAUUUCACAGUUGGGUUACUUGGGUAGCUCAAGGUGUGACUAAUAAUUACAAGUUACAUUUUAUUUUUAUUUUUAUUUUCAUUUAUAUAUUCUUUAUUAUAAGAAUAUGAUACGUAUAUGGAAAUGGGAGUUAUGAUUGCAUUUUGGUUUAUAUGUCUUCUUCUAAACAAUAAUACUGAAUUAUUGUAGCAAUCAUAAGAUAAAGAAAUAGAAAAGACAUGAACACAAAUUAAAAGAGACUCAAACUAAAAUGAAACAAAUUUCUAGAUCCAUGCAUGAUGUGUCUAUACACCGACACUGAAUUCUGUUUUCAUCAAGUAUAUUGUAAAAUAAAAUGGUGAAACUGAACCAUCCGAUCACAUGGGAGAUUAUGAUAGAAGAAACAGCACAUUCUCUGAGCUUCGAAGAGGUUAAUGUGCAAUAAGCUAAGAUCACCCUCACGUUGAUAUUUUUAGUUUUGGACAAAUCUGCAACUCCAUUUUUAAUUUUCAGAAUUCCCAAGUAGCACAAGAACCUCAAAAUUGCAUAUGACCUCACAAAACCAAGAAAAACAAAUCAUUUAUAGAAAUUUUAGGCAUUAAGCUCAAAAGCUAGUUCAGAAAACAUGGAAGAGGUGGAGGCAAUAUAAAAGGGUCAGUAUUAUUAAUACAAAUCCAAUGAACACUUGACACAAAAGUGGUACCGUAGAAGAAAGGGAAGAACAGAACAAUACAACUGUUGAAAAAGAAAAAAUUAUGUACCAACACACUAAAAAUUUGCUUUGGUUCAUGGAGCCUCCAAAAAUUUCUCAGCUCUAGGCAGUUUUUUUUUUGUAUGAAGAUCUCAUUCAAACGUGAUAAGCACUAUAAUAUAUGCUCUUUUAAACAGGUAGAGUGUUUAGCCCAAAUAUUUCUGAAGCAGAGUAACAAAACCUUCCUAAUCAUCUGUAGCAUUACUCUGGCUUUUUCUCUGCUGAUUAUAUACUCUAGUUGGUUUAAGGAAUCAACUUUUAGAUAAGUAGGGUUUUGACCAAACAGCAGUCCUUCAGGCCAUUACAUGCUCUUAUAACAGAGGACAGGUCAGGUUUGGGAAGCAUGUAAUCGUAGAGAUAUUUUGUCUCCGUCAUUCCACAGCUCCAGUCCAUGAGCAAAAAGAGCCAUGGCUGGUAAAGUCAACACUCUGAAUGAUUUUUCCUGAAGCUCGCUGAUAAUAACGCUUUGAAUAUAUUUCACCACCCUGGAGCAUAUAACAAAAUGCUCCAUGACCAAAAACUUUACCUGAUCAGUGUGGUCACAACUUCUAAACAUUCCAAGCUCUGAAGUUCCUCUAAUAAGUUUACCAUUAUGGUUUUGAAUGUCAAAACGUUUGCCAAAUUUUAGAUAGCCGUUUGAAGAACGUCGUUUUUCGCCAUUUUGUCGAGCUACAUAGAGUGGCGAGUGACGUUUAGGUUUUGUUCAUGCAGCUAAUGCAUAAAGACAGUCUGCAUAGCAAUAAUUACGAACACCUAAUCUUGUGGUAUAGAAUUUUUUUUUAUUAAUAUCAGAAGGUUUUUGGGGCUGAAUCAUGUAUUUCCUCCGUAUUCUAAACUAAAUCAUGUAAAUAUUAGUUUCAUCCCAGCAGUGAUUCAAACCAAAGAAGUUUGACACAGUGAAUUAUAUAUUUAUAUGUAUGGAAUUAUUUUCCUAGUCUAUAAACCUAAAGACAGAGAGGUUCAAGAUUCGGUCAAAUGUUAACACAUAGAGGCAAGAGCAGAACAAAACGUUACUAAUGUAAAAAACACAUGCAGAGAGUUUUGCUUAAGAUACAACAUACUGUAAUCUAGUAAAACGAGAGAUGAAGCAAAACGGAACAAUAUAACAAGGGCCCCUGAAGCUCACAUGUUUUUGGUCUGAAUGGUAUUUUAUUAUAGAAACAGUACAAUAUCACAAGAAAAAGAAAAGAUAGUUUUUCAAACCGCGGGAAACCAUCUUUGUCUCACAAGUUAUAUAGCCACUCCGAGUAACAAAGCCUGAAACGAGCUAAUUCUAGCAAAGAAGAAACACUCUGUAUUAUUAUGGAAAAGCAUAAAUGAAGCACUCUGUUUGUUCAUAAUCACUAUAUAUAAAUA